GGGUUGUGAGGUUAAGCGACUAAGCGUACACGGUGGAUGCCCUGGCAGUCAGAGGCGAUGAAGGGCGUGCUAAUCUGCGAUAAGCGCCGGUAAGGUGAUAUGAACCGUUAUAACCGGCGAUACCCGAAUGGGGAAACCCAGUGUGAUUCGUCACACUAUCAUUAACUGAAUCCAUAGGUUAAUGAGGCGAACCGGGGGAACUGAAACAUCUAAGUACCCCGAGGAAAAGAAAUCAACCGAGAUUCCCCCAGUAGCGGCGAGCGAACGGGGAGGAGCCCAGAGCCUGAAUCAGCAUGUGUGUUAGUGGAAGCGUCUGGAAAGGCGCGCGAUACAGGGUGACAGCCCCGUACACAAAAGCGCAUGUGUUGUGAGCUCGAUGAGUAGGGCGGGACACGUGGUAUCCUGUCUGAAUAUGGGGGGACCAUCCUCCAAGGCUAAAUACUCCUGACUGACCGAUAGUGAACCAGUACCGUGAGGGAAAGGCGAAAAGAACCCCGGCGAGGGGAGUGAAAAAGAACCUGAAACCGUGUACGUACAAGCAGUGGGAGCACCCUUUUGGG
rnacentral:rRNA from 1 species